GCAUGAACUCGAUGCCUAGUCUGUGACUAAUUAUGGCCAUCAAUAUGGCGUUUACGGUUUUGUGCGUAUGUAAUAAAAAAAGGAAGUGUGAAAGAACCAGACGUUUCCAGAAGACUGAUCAUGCGUAUUAAAAACAACUGAUAUUAUACUGGAUAAUAAUUGUUUUACAUUGCUGUUCCUUCGGAUAAAUUAAUAAUCCGUAUACAGUAAACAUUCGAAUAUGAUAAUUAUACAUCUAGGUUAAUUAUACUAAAUAAUUAGGCAGGAUAUCGUUCCGGGUUAGAUUUCGAGUCAUCUACGUGACGAAAAUUUUUGAUACCCUGACGAGUAGAAAAUUCACA